AUUGAACGCUGGCGGCAGGCUUAACACAUGCAAGUCGAGUGAGCGGCGGACGGGUGAGUAAUGUCUGGGAAACUGCCUGAUGGAGGGGGAUAACUACUGGAAACGGUAGCUAAUACCGCAUACCAUCAGAUGUGCCCAGAUGGGAUGGGCUAGUAGGGGGGGUAAUGGCUCACCUAGGCGACGAUCCCUAGCUGGUCUGAGAGGAUGACCAGCCAAACUGGAACGGAGGCACGGUCCAGACUCCUACGGGAGGCAGCAGUGGGGAAGAUUGAACAAUGGGCGAAAGCCUGAUGCAGCCAUGCCGCGUGUGUGAAGAAGGCCUUCGGGUUGUAAAGCACUUUCAGCGAGGAGGCGUUACUCGCAGAAGAAGCACCGGCUAACUCCGUGCCAGCAGCCGCGGUAAUUC
rnacentral:rRNA from 1 species